CGGAGUGUAGCUCAGCCCGGUAGAGCACUGCCUUCGGGAGGCAGGGGCCGGAGGUUCGAAUCCUCUCACUCCGACCA
rnacentral:tRNA from 1 species